rnacentral:rRNA from 1 species
UACGAGGGGGGGCGAGCGUUGUUCGGAAUUAUUGGGCGUAAAGGGUGCGUAGGCGGUUUGGUAAGUCUAAUGUGAAAUCUAUGGGCUCAACUCAUAGUCUGCAUCGGAAACUGCCGGGCUUGAGUGUGGGGAGAGGUGAGUGGAAUUCCUGGUGUAGCGGUGAAAUGCGUAGAUAUCAGGAGGAACACCUGUGGCGAAAAGCAGCUCACUGGACCAUAACUGACGCUGAUGCACGAAAAGCUAGGGGGAGCAAACAGG